rnacentral:lncRNA from 1 species
CACCCUUUCCAGAUACACACCCGUUUAGUGCGAGAAAUGGAGCGGUUGGGGAGAGGAUCUCCCGAGGGGGCUGGAUUGAGAAUGGGUACCAUUUGAGAUCUCCUAGGAGGCCGGCCAUCGGGCAAUGUCUGAUGGAGUCCAGCCGGUGGAGGAGACUGAAAGGAAACAGCCUGCUUCCUGCAGGUCCGCGGGAGGGAGGUCUUUAAGUGCGUUUGUGCAGCCGAUUUCAAGGCUAAGAGAGAAAGACUGCCUCUGAUCCCUGAAGGUAG